ACUCCGUACGGGAGGCAGGCAGUGGGGGAAUAUUGCACAAUGGGGGAAACCCCUGAUGCAGCCAUGCCGCGUGUGUGAAGAAGGCCUUCGGGUUGUAAAAGCACUUUCAGUAGGGAGGAAGGUAGUGUAGUUAACACCUGCACUAUUUGACGUUACCUACAGAAGAAGCACCGGCUAACUCCGUGCCAGCAGCCGCGGUAAUACGGAGGGUGCGAGCGUUAAUCGGAAUUACUGGGCGUAAAGCGCAUGCAGGCGGCCCUGUUUAAAGUCAGAUGUGAAAGCCCGGGGGCUUAACCUC
rnacentral:rRNA from 1 species